rnacentral:rRNA from 1 species
AUUGAACGCUGGCGGCAUGCCUUACACAUGCAAGUCGAACGGCAGCACGGGAGCAAUCCUGGUGGCGAGUGGCGAACGGGUGAGUAAUAUAUCGGAACGUGCCCAGUCGUGGGGGAUAACGUAGCGAAAGCUACGCUAAUACCGCAUACGAUCUAUGGAUGAAAGCGGGGGAUCGCAAGACCUCGCGCGAUUGGAGCGGCCGAUAUCAGAUUAGGUAGUUGGUGAGGUAAAGGCUCACCAAGCCGACGAUCUGUAGCUGGUCUGAGAGGACGACCAGCCACACUGGGACUGAGACACGGCCCAGACUCCUACGGGAGGCGGCAGUGGGGAAUUUUGGACAAUGGGCGCAAGCCUGAUCCAGCAAUGCCGCGUGCAGGAUGAAGGCC